rnacentral:rRNA from 1 species
AUGAACGCUAGCGGCAGGCCUAACACAUGCAAGUCGAGGGGCAUCACGAGGUAGCAAUACUUUGGUGGCGACCGGCGCACGGGUGCGUAACGCGUAUGUAACCUACCUAUAACAGGGGCAUAACACUGAGAAAUUGGUACUAAUUCCCCAUAAUAUUCGGAGAGGCAUCUCUCCGGGUUGAAAACUCCGGUGGUUAUAGAUGGACAUGCGUUGUAUUAGCUAGUUGGUGAGGUAACGGCUCACCAAGGCAACGAUACAUAGGGGGACUGAGAGGUUAACCCCCCACACUGGUACUGAGACACGGACCAGACUCCUACGGGAGGCAGCAGUGAGGAAUAUUGGUCAAUGGACGCAAGUCUGAACCAGCCAUGCCGCGUGCAGGAAGACGGCUCUAUGAGUUGUAAACUGCUUUUGUACGAGGGUAAACUCACCUACGUGUAGGUGACUGAAAGUAUCGUACGAAUAAGGAUCGGCUAACUCCGUGCCAGCAGCCGCGGUAAUACGGAGGAUUCAAGCGUUAUCCGGAUUUAUUGGGUUUAAAGGGUGCGUAGGCGGUUUGAUAAGUUAGAGGUGAAAUCCCGGGGCUUAACUCCGGAACUGCCUCUAAUACUGUUAGACUAGAGAGUAGUUGCGGUAGGCGGAAUGUAUGGUGUAGCGGUGAAAUGCUUAGAGAUCAUACAGAACACCGAUUGCGAAGGCAGCUUACCAAACUAUAUCUGACGUUGAGGCACGAAAGCGUGGGGAGCAAACAGGAUUAGAUACCCUGGUAGUCCACGCAGUAAACGAUGAUAACUCGUUGUCGGCGAUACACAGUCGGUGACUAAGCGAAAGCGAUAAGUUAUCCACCUGGGGAGUACGUUCGCAAGAAUGAAACUCAAAGGAAUUGACGGGGGCCCGCACAAGCGGUGGAGCAUGUGGUUUAAUUCGACGCAACGCGAAGAACCUUACCAGGUCUUGACAUUCACUUAAACUUACAGAGAUGUAAGGUGUGCUUGCACAAAGUGAGACAGGUGGUGCAUGGUUGUCGUCAGCUCGUGCCGUGAGGUGUCGGGUUAAGUCCCAUAACGAGCGCAACCCCUACCGUUAGUUGCCAUCAGGUCAAGCUGGGCACUCUGGCGGGACUGCCGGUGUAAGCCGAGAGGAAGGUGGGGAUGACGUCAAAUCAGCACGGCCCUUACGUCCGGGGCUACACACGUGUUACAAUGGUAGGUACAGAGGGUCGCUACUCCGUGAGGAGAUGCCAAUCUCGAAAGCCUAUCUCAGUUCGGAUUGGAGGCUGAAACCCGCCUCCAUGAAGUUGGAUUCGCUAGUAAUCGCGCAUCAGCCAUGGCGCGGUGAAUACGUUCCCGGGCCUUGUACACACCGCCCGUCAAGCCAUGGAAGCUGGGGGUGCCUGAAGUUCGUGACCGCAAGGAGCGACCUAGGGCAAAACCGGUAACUGGGGCU